UACGAAGGGGGCUAGCGUUGCUCGGAAUCACUGGGCGUAAAGGGUGCGUAGGCGGGUCUUUAAGUCAGGGGUGAAAUCCUGGAGCUCAACUCCAGAACUGCCUUCGAUACUGAAGACUGAGUCCGGGAGAGGUGAGUGGAACUGCGAGUGUAGAGGUGAAAUUCGUAGAUAUUCGCAAGAACACCAGUGGCGAAGGCGGCUCACUGGCCCGGUACUGACGCUGAGGUGCGAAAGCGUGGGGAGCAAACAGG
rnacentral:rRNA from 1 species